rnacentral:rRNA from 1 species
UACGUAGGGUGCAAGCGUUGUCCGGAAUUAUUGGGCGUAAAGAGCUCGUAGGCGGUUUGUCGCGUCUGCCGUGAAAGACCGGGGCUCAACUCCGGUUCUGCAGUGGGUACGGGCAGACUAGAGUGCAGUAGGGGAGACUGGAAUUCCUGGUGUAGCGGUGAAAUGCGCAGAUAUCAGGAGGAACACCGAUGGCGAAGGCAGGUCUCUGGGCUGUAACUGACGCUGAGGAGCGAAAGCAUGGGGAGCGAACAGG